GAAAAAACUAGAAUAAAUCCUAGAUAAGAGAAUUUCAAGAAAAAUUAUGAAAAUUUCAAGGAAUCAAGCAAGAUAAGGUGGUGAGCUAUUUGAUAAGGAUAAAGAGAUUACACCAAAGACCGGGACUAGGAGUAUUUCUACUCUUGAUACUAGGAGGUUCUGUGGACCAGCCUAAGAGAGGGGACACAAAAUCAGAUAUACCUUACCUCGAUCGGAGAACCGUGUGGAGGGUGUCUCUGGAGGUAAAGAUUUGAGUGCACUUCACGUCGACCACCGCGUGAGAGUGAGACUCAGCUAACGUCAAGACAUGGCUAGAUUUUCAAAUGUAAAAAUAUGUUCAUGUGUGUACUACACUGAACAGUCUUGGCGGUCUCGAUCAGAUGCCUAGGCCAAGGCAUCCUUGGGAAUGAUGUUGGUAGGAGCCAAGCUUUGUGAAAUACAUAAGCUAAGUUGAUUAUUUGAGUAAAUUGAUUAUUGAUGUUAUGGAAAACAUACUGGAAUGAAAUAUCUUACUUGUCUCCAUUUA